CCUACGGGUGGCUGCAGUGGGGAAUAUUGGACAAUGGGCGAAAGCCUGAUCCAGCCAUGCCGCGUGUGUGAAGAAGGCCUUCGGGUUGUAAAGCACUUUCAGUGGGGAAGAAAGCCUUGGGGCUAAUACCCUCGAGGAAGGACAUCACCCACAGAAGAAGCACCGGCUAACUCCGUGCCAGCAGCCGCGGUAAUACGGAGGGGGCGAGCGUUAAUCGGAAUUACUGGGCGUAAAGCGCGCGUAGGCGGUCUGAUAAGCCGGUUGUGAAAGCCCCGGGCUCAACCUGGGAACGGCAUCCGGAACUGUCAGGCUAGAGUGCAGGAGAGGAAGGUAGAAUUCCCGGUGUAGCGGUGAAAUGCGUAGAGAUCGGGAGGAAUACCAGUGGCGAAGGCGGCCUUCUGGACUGACACUGACGCUGAGGUGCGAAAGCGUGGGUAGCAAACAGGAUUAGAUACCCUAGUAGUC
rnacentral:rRNA from 1 species